ACCUGGGUGGCUCAGCCGGUUGGGCGUCUGACUUCAGCUCAGAUCAUGACCUCACGGUUCACAGGUUCGAGCCCCGUGUCGGGCU
rnacentral:tRNA from 1 species